GUCGGUGUGGCCUAAUGGACAGGGCGUCUGCCUUCUAAGCGGAACUGUGCGGGUUCGAGUCCCGUCACGGACG
rnacentral:tRNA from 1 species